UGUAGCUCAGUGGUAGAGCACUUGUCUGGUAUGCAUGAGGCCCUGAGUUCAAUACCCACCA
rnacentral:tRNA from 1 species